rnacentral:ncRNA from 2 species
GCACAUUCUCAGGGCGGGGUGGAAUUCCCCACCGGCGGUAAGUCAUUAGACAAGCCCGCGAGCGCCUCUUUUCCAAGAGGGUCAGCAGAUCUGGUGCGACUCCAGAGCCGACGGUCAUAGUCCGGAUGAAAGAGAAUGGGU